rnacentral:rRNA from 1 species
GACGAACGCUGGCGGCGCGCCUAACACAUGCAAGUCGAGCGAAGCACCUUACUUGAUUUCUUCGGGAUGAAAGUAUUGUGACUGAGCGGCGGACGGGUGAGUAACGCGUGGAUAACCUGCCUCAUACAGGGGGAUAACAGUUAGAAAUGACUGCUAAUACCGCAUAAGACCACAGCACCGCAUGGUGCAGGGGUAAAAACUCCGGUGGUACAGGAUGGGCCCGCGUCUGAUUAGCUUGUUGGCGGGGUAAGGGCCCACCAAGGCGACGAUCAGUAGCCGGUCUGAGAGGAUGAACGGCCACAUUGGAACUGAGACACGGUCCAA